CACACUGUUAGCAUCACAAGGUUAGCAUGGGACUGUUAGCAUCACACUGUUAGCAUGGGACUGUUAGCAUCACACUGUUAGCAUGGGACUGUUAGCAUCACAAGGUUAGCAUGGGACUGUUAGCAUCACACUGUUAGAAUCACAAAGUUAGCAUGGGACUGUUAGCAUCACACUGUUAGCAUGGGACUGUUAGCAUCACACUGUUAGCAUGGGACUGUUAGCAUCACACUGUUGUGGCAUCAGAACAUUUUGGACAAAUUGUUGGACUGUGUGUUGUUUACUUCCUGCAGGACGUCCCUCCGCCGGGGAAAAUAGUCCCGGGCUUCGGGUCUCUGGGUGCUGAGGUCAGCAGAACCUCAUCAAACUCAUGUUUUGAUUCUGAGGUGACAAACGGCUUGUUGACAUUCAGCAACUGGAUGGAGCUUUAAUUUGGGGUGAACUGUCCCUUUAAUAGAGGCGUAAUA